AACGAACGCUGGCGGCAUGCCUAACACAUGCAAGUCGAACGCGACGUUCGGGGCGUGGGGCACAGGUGAGUGAAACGCGUGGGAACAUGCCCUUAUGCUGGGAAUAACUCGCCGACAGGGGUGCUUAUACCGGAUGAUGUACUCGGACCAAAGAUUUAUCGGCUGUGGAUGGGCCCGCGUUGGAUUAGCUAGUUGGUAGGGUAAAGGCCUACCAAGGCGACGAUCCAUAGCUGGUCUGAGAGGAUGAUCAGCCACAUUGGGACUGAGACACGGCCCAAACUCCUACGGGAGGCAGCAGUGGGGAAUAUUGGACAAUGGGCGAAAGCCUGAUCCAGCCAUGCCGCGUGAGUGAUGAAGGCCUUAGGGUUGUAAAGCUCUUUUACCCGUGAUGAUAAUGACAGUAGUGGGAGAAGAAGCCCCGGCUAACUUCGUG
rnacentral:rRNA from 1 species